UUGAACGCUGGCGGCAUGCCUUACACAUGCAAGUCGAACGGCAGCGCGGACUUCGGUCUGGCGGCGAGUGGCGAACGGGUGAGUAAUACAUCGGAACGUACCCUGUUGUGGGGGAUAACUAGUCGAAAGAUUAGCUUAUACCGCAUACGACCUGAGGGUGAAAGUGGGGGACCGGAAACGGCCUCAUGCAGCAGGAGCGGCCGAUGUCUGAUUAGCUAGUUGGUGGGGUAAAGGCCCACCAAGGCGACGAUCAGUAGCUGGUCUGAGAGGACGAUCAGCCACACUGGGACUGAGACACGGCCCAGACCCCUACGGGAGGCAGCAGUGGGGAAUUUUGGACAAUGGGGGCAACCCUGAUCCAGCAAUGCCGCGUGUGUGAAGAAGGCCUUCGGGUUGUAAAGCACUUUUGUCCGGAAAGAAAUCGCGCUGGUUAAUACCUGGCGUGGAUGACGGUACCGGAAGAAUAAGCACCGGCUAACUACGUG
rnacentral:rRNA from 1 species